GUGAGUGUAGCUCAGGUGGUUAGAGCACCAGGUUGUGGCCCUGGGGGUCGCCGGUUCAAGUCCGGUCAUUCACCCCA
rnacentral:tRNA from 1 species